rnacentral:rRNA from 1 species
GACGAACGCUGGCGGCGUGCUUAACACAUGCAAGUCGAACGGAAAGGCCCUGCUUUUGUGGGGUGCUCGAGUGGCGAACGGGUGAGUAACACGUGAGUAACCUGCCCUUGACUUUGGGAUAACUUCAGGAAACUGGGGCUAAUACCGGAUAGGAGCUCCUACUGCAUGGUGGGGGUUGGAAAGUUUCGGCGGUUGGGGAUGGACUCGCGGCUUAUCAGCUUGUUGGUGGGGUAGUGGCUUACCAAGGCUUUGACGGGUAGCCGGCCUGAGAGGGUGACCGGCCACAUUGGGACUGAGAUACGGCCCAGACUCCUACGGGAGGCAGCAGUGGGGAAUAUUGCACAAUGGGCGGAAGCCUGAUGCAGCAACGCCGCGUGCGGGAUGACGGCCUUCGGGUUGUAAACCGCUUUCGCCUGUGACGAAGCGUGAGUGACGGUAAUGGGUAAAGAAGCACCGGCUAACUACGUGCCAGCAGCCGCGGUGAUACGUAGGGUGCGAGCGUUGUCCGGAUUUAUUGGGCGUAAAGGGCUCGUAGGUGGUUGAUCGCGUCGGAAGUGUAAUCUUGGGGCUUAACCCUGAGCGUGCUUUCGAUACGGGUUGACUUGAGGAAGGUAGGGGAGAAUGGAAUUCCUGGUGGAGCGGUGGAAUGCGCAGAUAUCAGGAGGAACACCAGUGGCGAAGGCGGUUCUCUGGGCCUUUCCUGACGCUGAGGAGCGAAAGCGUGGGGAGCGAACAGGCUUAGAUACCCUGGUAGUCCACGCUGUAAACGGUGGGUACUAGGUGUGGGGUCCAUUCCACGGGUUCCGUGCCGUAGCUAACGCUUUAAGUACCCCGCCUGGGGAGUACGGCCGCAAGGCUAAAACUCAAAGGAAUUGACGGGGCCCCGCACAAGCGGCGGAGCAUGCGGAUUAAUUCGAUGCAACGCGUAGAACCUUACCUGGGUUUGACAUGGAUCGGGAGUGCUCAGAGAUGGGUGUGCCUCUUUUGGGGUCGGUUCACAGGUGGUGCAUGGCUGUCGUCAGCUCGUGUCGUGAGAUGUUGGGUUAAGUCCCGCAACGAGCGCAACCCUUGUUCACUGUUGCCAGCACGUUAUGGUGGGGACUCAGUGGAGACCGCCGGGGUCAACUCGGAGGAAGGUGGGGAUGACGUCAAGUCAUCAUGCCCCUUAUGUCCAGGGCUUCACGCAUGCUACAAUGGCUGGUACAGAGAGUGGCGAGCCUGUGAGGGUGAGCGAAUCUCGGAAAGCCGGUCUCAGUUCGGAUUGGGGUCUGCAACUCGACCUCAUGAAGUCGGAAUCGCUAGUAAUCGCAGAUCAGCAACGCUGCGGUGAAUACGUUCCCGGG